rnacentral:rRNA from 1 species
UCGUAGGUGACCUGCGGAGGGUCAUUACACAAAUAUGAAGGCGGGCUGGAACCUCUCGGGGUUACAGCCUUGCUGAAUUAUUCACCCUUGUCUUUUGCGUACUUCUUGUUUCCUUGGUGGGUUCGCCCACCACUAGGACAAACAUAAACCUUUUGUAAUUGCAAUCAGCGUCAGUAACAAAUUAAUAAUUACAACUUUCAACAACGGAUCUCUUGGUUCUGGCAUCGAUGAAGAACGCAGCGAAAUGCGAUAAGUAGUGUGAAUUGCAGAAUUCAGUGAAUCAUCGAAUCUUUGAACGCACAUUGCGCCCUUUGGUAUUCCAAAGGGCAUGCCUGUUCGAGCGUCAUUUGUACCCUCAAGCUUUGCUUGGUGUUGGGCGUCUUGUCUCUAGCUUUGCUGGAGACUCGCCUUAAAGUAAUUGGCAGCCGGCCUACUGGUUUCGGAGCGCAGCACAAGUCGCACUCUCUAUCAGCAAAGGUCUAGCAUCCAUUAAGCCUUUUUUCAACUUUUGACCUCGGAUCAGGUAGGGAUACCCGCUGAACUUAAGCAUAUCAAUAAGCGGAGGAAAAGAAACCAACAGGGAUUGCCCUAGUAACGGCGAGUGAAGCGGCAACAGCUCAAAUUUGAAAUCUGGCUCUUUUAGAGUCCGAGUUGUAAUUUGCAGAGGGCGCUUUGGCUUUGGCAGCGGUCCAAGUUCCUUGGAACAGGACGUCACAGAGGGUGAGAAUCCCGUACGUGGUCGCUGGCUAUUGCCGUGUAAAGCCCCUUCGACGAGUCGAGUUGUUUGGGAAUGCAGCUCUAAAUGGGAGGUACAUUUCUUCUAAAGCUAAAUAUUGGCCAGAGACCGAUAGCGCACAAGUAGAGUGAUCGAAAGAUGAAAAGCACUUUGGAAAGAGAGUCAAACAGCACGUGAAAUUGUUGAAAGGGAAGCGCUUGCAGCCAGACUUGCUUACAGUUGCUCAUCCSGGKUUUUACCCGGUGCACUCUUCUGUAGGCAGGCCAGCAUCAGUUUGGGCGGUAGGAUAAAGGUCUCUGUCACGUACCUCCUUUCGGGGAGGCCUUAUAGGGGAGACGACAUACUACCAGCCUGGACUGAGGUCCGCGCAUCUGCUAGGAUGCU